rnacentral:misc_RNA from 1 species
UUUUUGAGACCCAGAAAUACAAUCCUGAUAUUGGGUGGUUUGAUGCUAAUGAGGGGACAAAUGAAGUUGAACUUCCAUCAGGCUGGGAAUGGGUUGAUGAAUGGCAUGUAGAUAAGAAAUCUGUGAACACUGCUGAUGGAUGGGUUUAUGCUCCAGAUUUCAAUAGUUUGAAAUGGCCAGAGUCGUCCAAUCCACUAAAAUCUGUGAACUACGCAAAACAGAGACGGUGGCUUAGGAACAGGAAAGGCAAGUCAACAGAUCUCAAG